rnacentral:rRNA from 1 species
AGUAGUUUGAUCCGUGGCUCGAGGACGAACGCUGGCGGCGUGCUUAACACAUGCAAGUCGAACGGGGCUGAAUAGCUUGCUAUGAAAGCCUAGUGGCAAACGGGUGAGUAACGCGUGGGCAACCUGCCGGAAAGAUGGGGACAACAUCCCGAAAGGGGUGCUAAUACCGAAUGUAGUAUAUAAGGCGCAUGCCUUGUAUAUCAAAGGAUCUUAUCCGCUUUCCGAUGGGCCCGCGUCCGAUUAGCUGGUUGGGGGGGUAACGGCCCACCAAGGCGACGAUCGGUAGCCGGCCUGAGAGGGUGGACGGCCACAUUGGGACUGAGACACGGCCCAGACUCC